GCAGUCGAACGAUGAUGCCCAGCUUGCUGGGCGGAUUAGUGGCGAACGGGUGAGUAAUACGUGAGUAACCUGCCCUUGACUCUGGGAUAAGCCUGGGAAACUGGGUCUAAUACUGGAUACUACCUCGCACCGCAUGGUGGGUGGUGGAAAGGGUUUUACUGGUUUUGGAUGGGCUCACGGCCUAUCAGCUUGUUGGUGGGGUAAUGGCUCACCAAGGCGACGACGGGUAGCCGGCCUGAGAGGGUGACCGGCCACACUGGGACUGAGACACGGCCCAGACUCCUACGGGAGGCAGCAGUGGGGAAUAUUGCACAAUGGGCGGAAGCCUGAUGCAGCGACGCCGCGUGAGGGAUGACGGCCUUCGGGUUGUAAACCUCUUUCAGUAGGGAAGAAGCGAGAGUGACGGUACCUGCAGAAGAAGCGCCGGCUAACUACGUGCCAGCAGCCGCGGUAAUACGUAGGGCGCAAGCGUUGUCCGGAAUUAUUGGGCGUAAAGAGCUCGUAGGCGGUUUGUCGCGUCUGCUGUGAAAGCCCGGGGCUCAACCCCGGGUCUGCAGUGGGUACGGGCAGACUAGAGUGCAGUAGGGGAGACUGGAAUUCCUGGUGUAGCGGUGAAAUGCGCAGAUAUC
rnacentral:rRNA from 1 species